GCGCCCGUAGCUCAAUGGAUAGAGCGUCUGACUACGGAUCAGAAGGUUGGGGGUUCGAGUCCCUUCGGGCGCG
rnacentral:tRNA from 3 species